AGAGUUUGAUCCUGGCUCAGAUUGAACGCUGGCGGAACGCUUUACACAUGCAAGUCGAACGGUAACGCGGAGAGAAGCUUGCUUCUCUCCGGCGACGAGUGGCGAACGGGUGAGUAAUACAUCGGAACGUGUCCGCUCGUGGGGGACAACCAGCCGAAAGGUUGGCUAAUACCGCAUGAGUUCUACGGAAGAAAGAGGGGGACCCGCAAGGGCCUCUCGCGAGCGGAGCGGCCGAUGACUGAUUAGCCGGUUGGUGAGGUAACGGCUCACCAAAGCAACGAUCAGUAGCUGGUCUGAGAGGACGACCAGCCACACUGGGACUGAGACACGGCCCAGACUCCUACGGGAGGCAGCAGUGGGGAAUUUUGGACAAUGGGCGCAAGCCUGAUCCAGCUAUUCCGCGUGUGGGAUGAAGGCCCUCGGGUUGUAAACCACUUUUGUAGAGAACGAAAAGACACCUUUUAAUAAAGGGUGUUGCUGACGGUACUCUAAGAAUAAGCACCGGCUAACUACGUGCCAGCAGCCGCGGUAAUACGUAGGGUGCGAGCGUUAAUCGGAAUUACUGGGCGUAAAGGGUGCGCAGGCGGUUGAGUAAGACAGAUGUGAAAUCCCCGAGCUUAACUCGGGAAUGGCAUAUGUGACUGCUCGACUAGAGUGUGUCAGAGGGAGGUGGAAUUCCACGUGUAGCAGUGAAAUGCGUAGAUAUGUGGAAGAACACCGAUGGCGAAGGCAGCCUCCUGGGACAUAACUGACGCUCAGGCACGAAAGCGUGGGGAGCAAACAGGAUUAGAUACCCUGGUAGUCCACGCCCUAAACGAUGUUAACUAGUUGUUGGGAAGUAAAAUUCUCAGUAACGCAGCCAACGCGAGAAGUUAACCGCCUGGGAAGUACGGUCGCAAGACUAAAACUCAAAGGAAUUGACGGGGACCCGCACAA
rnacentral:rRNA from 1 species